rnacentral:rRNA from 1 species
CCUACGGGAGGCAGCAGUAGGGAAUAUUGCUCAAUGGGGGCAACCCUGAAGCAGCAACGCCGCGUGGAGGAUGAAGGUUUUCGGAUUGUAAACUCCUUUUGUUAGAGAAGAUAAUGACGGUAUCUAACGAAUAAGCACCGGCUAACUCCGUGCCAGCAGCCGCGGUAAUACGGAGGGUGCAAGCGUUACUCGGAAUCACUGGGCGUAAAGAGCGCGUAGGCGGGAUAGCAAGUCAGAUGUGAAAUCCUAUGGCUUAACCAUAGAACUGCAUUUGAAACUGUUAUUCUAGAGUAUGGGAGAGGGAGGUGGAAUUCUUGGUGUAGGGGUAAAAUGCGUAGAGAUCAAGAGGAAUACUCAUUGCGAAGGCGACCUGCUAGAACAUAACUGACGCUGAGGCGCGAAAGCGUGGGGAGCAAACAGGAUUAGAUACCCCGGUAGUC